rnacentral:lncRNA from 1 species
GGCUUUUGACGUGGAGACUUCUGUCAGACGCAUGUUUGAUUCCAUGUGGUCUCUCUGGUUCUUUGUUGUACGAGCCUUGUAGAGUAGCUUUCCCUCCGGUUGAGUCCAAUUUCUCUAAGGAAGCCCUUGUUUUUUCCUGUGCGACGUUCUCCUCUGGCCGUUUCGUUCUGGAGAGUUGUGUGGCCCUCGCCGGUGUAACCGUCUUCCGUGCGAUCAAGGUCGUUCUAGGUGGUGUGAUUGUUGGGCAUGCGUGUUAUGAUCGGGAUUGCUUUUAUUUGCAUUUGCAUUUGCAUUUUGUUUGGUGAGUAGUCAUUAAUUGUUUAGUUUUUUGCUUUCUUUUUAUAAUAUAGUAUCAUUGACAUAGAACAAAGUAGAAAGAGUAGAAUGUUGUGAAGAGAAUUUGAAAUAUGGUAUGGAGAUAAUGGUUUACAUAUUUUAUCCAGAAAAUUGGUUAUAAUGAUUUUUACUUAUUUCUGUUCAUGUUCAUGAGUUGUUGGACCAAAGCUUUGUGCAUUGAUGCCUGGACACAGAAAAAUUAGCGAGGCUGAUUUAAUUGAAAUUGAGAAUUACAUAACAAUUGGCAUUAGGCCUCCUCAAAUAUAUGUUGCUUUUGCAAACACUUCCGGUGGCUACGAGAAUGUACGAUUUGUGAGAAAAGACCUAUGUAAUCAAGUUCACAGAAUCUGCCGUGGGUACAAGUUAGAUGUUGAAGGUGCAUUUAAAUUCUUCAAGGAGUUGUAUGUAACUGAUCUGAUGUUGUAUGUUUCGUACAGGUUGAUGAUGAUAACAAACUCCAACAUCUAUUUUAGUAUGACAUCGAGAGCCAAAUGAAAUAUCAGGUACUCGGUGAUGUGCUAGUAUUUGAUGCUACAUAUAAGAACAAGUAUCUUUGUCCACUUGUGGUGUUAUCUAGAGUUAAUCAUCAUAAUCAAACACUAGUAAUAAAUGAAUCUGAAGAAAUUUAUGUGUGGUUGAUGGAGCAAUUCUCGGAUGCAAUGAAGGGGAGAGCUGCAUGUUCGGAGAUCACAUAUGGUGAUCUUGCAAUGAGGAAUGCUACCGAUGUGUCUUUCCAAAUGUACAUCACCGGCUGUGAGCAUGCCAUUUGUUGCGAAAUGCACAAAGCAAUUUGAACAACAAUGACAUUCUGCCAUAUUUGAAAAGAGUAAUGUUAUGUUAUCUUGAAGUUAGUGAUUUUGAACUAAAUGGAAUGACAUGGUUAGAACAUUUGGGUUGCAGGAGAAUAAUUGGGUGGCAGAAUUAUAUAAGAAAAGGAACAUGUGGUCUCCAGCUCACAACCAUGGAAAUUUCUUUGCAGGUAUUUGGACUACAUCAAUGUGAAGCCUUUCAUUCACCUUGGGAAAUAUGUUGAUUAUAGGAGUACUUUGACUAAUUUUGUGCAGCAAUUUCAAAGGUUUUUAACUUAUUUCGCUUCCACGAGGUUGAAGUUGAUUAUGACUCUAAAGUUGGGAGUUUGGGUUUAGAGAUUGAUUUUCAUGCAAUUAAGAGGUCUGGUGCUGAGGUCAUCACUAAGGAGUUGUUUAUGGCAUUUCAAAGUAAUCUUAAGACAAUGAUGUUAAGGGUUGAUGAAUGUCAAGAAAUGGGUAUGUCAUGUGUUUAUACAGUUGAGGUAUCGCUCGUUCGCUAUGUGGCAUGUUUCAUACUGCCCUUCAAGUGGAUUUAAAUGUUCUUGCCAAUGAAUGCAAUCAAUUGGUAUACCAUGUGGCCGCAUUUUAGGGGUACUUAUAUUCUUAGAUUUCAAUGACUUACUGAUACGGAACCAGACUCAACAGCCACAAAGACAAAAAGGGAGGUGCAAAUAGAGGACAAACCCAAAAGGAAGCUCACAAAACCAGCAUACCUCAGUGACUACGUAUGAAGAAACGGACAAAAGCUCAUGAUCCUUGCUAUCCUUAGUGUUGUCUGCUAUCAGGGGACAACCUAACAAAUUCCGUUAGUGUAAUAUUCCUUGGGAAUCAAUUAGUACAAUUCUAUUACUAGGAAGCACUAUAAAUAAACAAUGUAAUAAGCAAGCAAGCAAUGAAAAAUCUCGAUACUUAUUUUUUCCUUCCUUAUCGGCUUCUCCUUCUUCCUCUAUUCUGGAGGUGCUGGCCUAUUAAAUCAGCUUUAGAAUUUGAGCCUAUCAUUUGGUGCUCUCGUUGCUGUUCUCAUGGCUGAUUCUGGCAAUACCAAUAAGCACCUUGACCCGACCCCUGACCCGUCCAUUGAACCUGAUCCACCCCUGGCCCAACUCAGCCUCAAUUCCUUAGCGCUGACCAUUUGGCACCUGAGACCAUCAGAGUGGUGGGUACGAUUUCCAGCCAGGCAGUGCUCCUCCUAGUGGACGGUGGGAGCACCCACAAUUUCAUCCAGCAGCACCUCGUCACCCAACUCGGACUCCCUUUUCGCACCACUACUCCUCUUUCGGUUAUGGUGGGUAAUGGCCAACAAUUGGAGUGUUGUUGGCUUUGUGAGGCGGUCACCAUCGACCUCCAGACAGCCUCCUUCACAGUGGACCUCUAUGUCUUGCCCAUCGUCGGUGCCAAUGUCAUUUUGGGCGUUCAAUGGUUGCAAUCACUAGGUCCCGUUCUCACCAAUUAUAACCUUAACCAUGCAAUUCUUUCACCAAGGUAGCCUGGUCGAAUUGCGAGGAGAUAAGGACGCUAAAAUGGGGAUGAUGACUCCACCUCAGCUUCGACGCUUGUGCCGUAAACUCGGCAAUGCCACGUGCUUCCACGUCACCGUGGUUCCUAAGGACACAUCACCUACACCUACUACUGAUUUCUCCCCUGAGUUACGAGCUCUACUCACUAAGUUUAGCUCUCUAUUUCAGAAUCCACAAUCCUUGCCGCUGGCACGAGACAUCGACCACAACAUACACCUCCUUCCGUAGUCAACGUGCGUCCACACAGGUACCCCCAUUACUAGAAGCAUGAAAUUGAACUACAGGUGGACUCCAAGCUCCAAAAAGGGCUGAUACAACCCAACACCAACCCGUUCUCUUCACUGGUGCUGUUGGUGAAGAAACACGACGGCUCAUGGAGGUUUUGUGUAGAUUACCGAGCCCUGAAUGCCCUCAUCGUUAAGAAUCAAUUCUCGAUUCCCACAAUUGACGAGCUCUUGGAUGAACUCGAUGAUGCGCGUUGCUUCUCAAAGCUAGAUCUGUUACAAGGCUACCACCAGAUUCGCAUGCAUGCGGCGGACACUCCCAAAACAGCUUUCAGAACACACCAUGGCCAUUACGAAUUCAAAGUAAUGCCAUUUGGGUUGUGUAAUGCGUCGUCAUCGUUCCAAGCAACAAUGAAUAUGAUCUUCUGACCGUACCUUCGACAAUUCAUCAUCGUCUUUUUCAAUGACAUUCUCAUCUAUAACGGCUCUCCUGAGGAUCAUCUUCACCAUCUAGCAACGACAUUUCAGAUGCUACUUGAUAACCAAUUCGUUUUAAAAUUCUCUAAAUGUUUAUUUGCUCAAUCCCAGGUUGAAUACCUCGGUCACCUGGUCUCGCAUAAAGGGGUUGAACUAGUUGCUUCCAAAAUUGUUGCGAUUCAACAAUGACCCACUUCAUGUUCCAUUAAAGCCCUUCGAAGUUUUCUGGGCCUCGCUGGGUUCUAUCGCCGCUUUAUCUGUGGUUAUGCCACCAUUGCCACACCCAUGGUCAAGGCUACCACCAUAGAGCCCUUCCAGUGGUCACCUUAUGCCCAAGUAGCUUUCGAUACACUGAAGCAAGCUUUAUCCACGGUGUCAGUCUUAACCUUACCAGACUUCAAGCUCCCAUUCACCGUUGAGACGAAUGCAUCAGGUAUUGGCAUGGGUGUCGUCCUUUCACAGUAGGGACACCCCAUAGUCUUCUUCAGUAAGCCCUUUAGCCCGAAACUCAUGCUUGCCUCAACCUAUGUGCGCAAGCUAGUCGCGAUCACCUUGGCGGUGAAGAAAUGACAACAUUACCUUUUGGGCACCACUUCACCAUUGUUACAGAUCAUCACAGCCUUAAGGAGUUGUUGAACCAAGUGAUUCAAACCCCGGAGCAACACAUGUAUUUAGCUCACUUGAUGGGGUAUGACUAUGAUAUUCAGUACCGCUCCGACAGCCACAACCAGGCGGCGGAUGCCCUGUCGCGCUUACCAGAGCAUGACUCCCCCAUGUUAAUGGUCCUCUCUGUCCCAUGUCUAACAUUCAUGAAAGAACUUUGCCAUCAACUGGACAAUCAUUCCGCUUACCAACACUACCUUCAAGAGGUGCUCACUUGUCCAACCAAACACCCUGGGCCUGAGGUCUCACAGGGCCUGAUUCUCAGUAAAGGUCGCAUAUGGUUACCUCGCAGCUUGCCAAUAGCUUCUACUUUACUUACGGAGCAUCACGCGACACCCACAGGGCGACACAUCGGGGUUACUAAGACCUUGGCAAGAAUCAUGAAAAAUUUCGUCUGGCCAGGGCUUCGAGAAGACGUUGCACAAUUUGUGGCCAACUGUGUCAAGUGCCAGGUAACCAAGUAUGAAGCUAAGAAGAUGGUGGGCCUGUUAUGUCCUCUUCCCGUGCCCCACAGACCUUGGGAGGAUCUCUCCUUAGAUUUUAUUGUGGGCUUACCCUCAUAUCAAGGCAACAUUGUGUUACUGGUGGUUGUUGACCGGUUUUCCAAAGGCAUCCACCUGGGAAUGCUACCUUCGAAUUAUUCUGCUCUCAUGAUGGCAUCUCUGUUCUUGGACAUUGUUGUGAAGCUCCAUGGGCUUCCUCGGAGCUUGGUCUCCGACCGUGAUCCCUUAUUUGUCAGUCGCUUCUGGCAAGAGCUUUUUUGGGCAAGCGGCACACAACUCAGAAUGAUUUCACCAUAUCACCCUCAGAGUGAUGGCCAGACUAAGGUACUGAAUCAAAUCAUUGAACAAUAUCUUUGAGCUUUUUUUCAUCGCCGGCCACGCGCAUGGAACAAGCUUCUCUCUUGGGUUGAAUUAUCGCAUAACGCAUCUUGGAUUAGGGGCACAGGCUCGACUCCUUAUGAAAUCACUUUUGGCUGCAAGCCCUUCAAUUUUCCAGAGUAUGUUGCCGGAACUUCUAAGGUUGACGUCGUGGAAGAAAUAUUAACAGAAAGGGAGGAGAUUUUCCAGAGCAUUCGUAAGAAACUCCUGAAGGCUUAAGAAACCAUGAAGCGGCAAGCAAACAAGAAACGUUGGGACGUGCACUACCAGGAAGAUGAUUGGGUUCUGGUGAAGCUCCGGCCCCAUCGACAAACUUCGACAAAAGGGGCUCAAACAGUUGCAGGAAAAUUGGCUAUAAAAGGUAUUAUGGUCCGUUCCAGGUCCAGGAACAAGUAGGACCGGUAGCUUAUCGAUUACGUUUACUGGAACAGCUCGGAUUCACCUUGUAUUUCAUUGUUCCCUGCUCAAACCGUUUCAUGGCUCCCCGGAGAACACAGAUGUUGCAGAAUUACCAACUCAAUUUGCUAAUCACCAACCCCUUAUUUCUCCACUUGCAAUACUGGACUAUUGUCGAGCUUCACCAAGUGCACCUUGGGAGGUACUUGUGCAGUGGAAGGGGUUAUCUCCAGAUGAAACAUCCUGGGAAGAUUGGUCCCAGUUGUGCAAUGACUUUCACCUUGAGGACAACGUGAGUUUGCAAGGCCCGAGGGAUGACACAGAACAGACUCAACAUCCACAAAGACAAAAAGGGAGGUGCAAAUAUAGGACAAGCCCAAAAGGAAGCUCACAAAACCAGCAUACCUCAGUGGCUACAUAUGAAGAAACAGACAAAAGCUCAGGAUCCUUGCUUGCCUUAGUGUUGUCUGUAACAUCCCAAUUUUUCGUAAAUAAAUUUAAAAAGUUUUUUAGUAAGAAUAAAUAAAUAAAUAAAUAAAUAAAUAUAGAGCAAAUAAUAGGCUGAGUACCCUAGGUAUAAAUAGUUAUAUUAAGUCAGCUGCCUCCUUUUGACCUCAUUUUCGUUUUUCCUCUUCUCCUCUCAAAACCCUUUCUUUUUCCCGCAGCCCACCAAACCUGUCUCAGUAAAAUGACGAUCUCAAACUCGUUCACCGUUGGAUCGUCGUGAAAUUUGAGUAUCAUGUUUGCAACCCAAUUCCGAACAUUCUCACCGUUGGGAAUUUCAAAAUUUUAACUGAGCUUAGAGAAAAGCCCUUCGCAUUGUAGCAUUUUAAUUUCCCACAGAAACCCAAAACUGUCUCGGUAAAACUACGAUCCCGGUUUCGUUAGCCGUUGGAUUUUCAUGAAAUUUGGUUUCGUUGUUCGAAAUUCAAUUCCGCACGCUUCCACCGUUGGGAUUCGCGACACAAUAUUCGUGGAGGAAAAAAAAAGGAAUCGCAUGAAGACAGUACAAGUGGAAGUUUCAAUCUCUUCUCCGUCUCUCUGACGUUUGGGAAUUCUAUCGGAGCAGUCAGAUGAAUAAUUGAAAGAAUUUCAGGGAACCGCUAGAGAUGUUGCUAUCGCUGGCUGAAGACACGUGAGUCCGCUCAGAGGUAAGGGAUGCGUUAUUCACAAUUGGGGAUUAGUGAGAACAUGUGUAGGGAUCCUUAGAGGAUUAAAUUGGGGUUUUAUUUUGGGAUGUUUGUUAAAUUACAAUUUUUUCCUUUAUGAUUAUAAAUAAAAUAUUGAUGUCCUAAUGAAGAUUGCUUGAUAAAUUGUGCUCUUGAUAUUUGUAUGUUUCGACCUAUGAUUUUGAUAUAAUUGUGUAAUAUUAUUUGAGGGGUUUUAGUCCUCAUGUUGUGAUGGUCUUAUAUAUAAAUUGUUAUAUUGAGGAUAUGAAAUGAUGAUUCAAAUUGUGAGUAUGUGAUGAAUUGUAGAAUAACAUGUUGCUUUGAGAUUAUAAUAUUGUUAUUGAGAUUGAGUAUAAGUGUAAAGUUGAACAUGUGUUAAUUUGUGAGAUACGUGUAAACAUGUGAUGGUGGAUUGUCACACUAUGAGAUGUGAAAUUGUGAAUGAGUUCUAGUUGUGGAUAAGUGUGUAGUUAACACUUGAUGUCAAAUUACUUGUGUUGUAAGCUAUGAAUUGUACAAUAACCUGACCAGUGUUAUCUUGAGAAAAGCGUUGAUGCGCAGUGUUAAAGAGAAAAUGUAGGUUUCCUACUUAGGAACCAGUGUUAAAUCGUAGCGCAAUUGUGUUGAACGUGUUUAAAACACGAGUGUAAGGUCAUGGGUGUUGUAUAAUUCAUGAGCAGUGUCUGCAUGCAAAAAUUAUUUUAGGGGUUGGACCUGAAUCAGGAGGGAGAGGCCCUGACGGACUCUUCGGAGUGUAGGCCUUGGGGGUCACCGGGUUUGAGUGCUCCUUUAAGCCUAUGCUGAUCUCAUAUGGUUGGAGCAUUCUCGCAAAACAUCGUGACCCUGACUGGUCUCCCUAUGAUCUUACUUAGUGAGAGUGACCUGACAAACCCAUGGUGUGGUGUGUCUUGUUAUGUACUCUUAAGCGCCCAGGGUGGUUUUUCACUGACAUGGUACCACAUUGCAUAUAGGAUUAAGUCUUAGCAUAACUAUUGCAUAUGCUUAUUAAUUGAUGUGUUAUUAUAUCUUGAUCGAAGUGUGGGAUUCUUGUGUAAUGUGAUUGAUAAUUGAAAAGUGAAUUUUGAAUGACGAAGUGGUGAAGUUACGUGAGCUAUGUUUAAGCAAGUGGUAUCUCAUUUAUAUAAUAUGUAUAUUUAAUUGUCUUGUUUCUCUAUUAGCUAGGAAUGUGAUAACUCACUCCCUGUGUGUUGUUGUGUUUGGAUCCUGUGAUGAUCUUGAACUUGUGUUCGGGGGAGCAGAUGAAUAGGUGGAUGACUAUGAAGAACCUCAUGCUAGAGGACACGAAAACACAACGCUCUAACAGGAUGUGACAUUAGGAUAUAGGUUCUAUAUUAAUUGUAUGAAGCUUAGACGACCUUGUUGAGUCGAGAAUACUUUAUUAUUUAUUUGGACAAGUUUAAAUAUGAUGUAGAAGAAAAUGAAUGUGAG